AGACACUGCGUGUACCAGAUGGAUCUUAGAGACGUGCACAGUGUGGGGAAAACACAGCAUCCAUCUCACAGUCUCUGGUUGCCAUGGCAAAGACAGUUACAGAAUAAAGCCUGAUUGAUCUGGACCAUCUUUGAAACCAACAGGAUGAAUUAAAAAUGAAAACCUACGUUUCUGCAGAAAGUAACAGGUUAUCUGUAGACAUUAUAACUUGCUGUUUCUGCAAGAAGUGUUAAAUAACAAAAUAAUGUAUGGCAUGA